ACCCCAAGGAUAGCUCAGUUGGUAGUGCACGAGGCUCUUAAUCUCAAGGUCAUGGAUUUGAGAACCAUGUUGGGCA